GUUUCCCAGAGACCAGCUUGGGCCGAUGGGGAGGCUUGCUGGCAGAGGGCCCGCGGGAGACCGAGGGGAGACACGCAGGCCUGGCCGCGGGGGGCGCCGCACCCCGCCUGCCUCCUCCUCCUUCUCCUUUCCCAAGCCCACUCUGGCCUCUCUCCCCCAAAGACCUAGCCCGUGUCUCAUUGCUGCAGACCCAUUUGGGCACGCACUCACCGUGUUUUCUGGACACUUCCAACCUGCCAGGCACCGGGAGAUACGAGAUGAGUUGGCGGGCUCUGCGGUCCGGGAGCUCCGGGUCCUGUGGACAAGUUGUUAUUUUGCAUCAGGGGGAAAAAUGAGAAGAAUUUAAUUCAUCAUUAAGUGCUGCGAAGGAAAAAUGCAGCGAAGGAACCACAGCCAAGGAACAGCAUGAAACUGGAAGGUGAAGCAGACAGAGUCCACCAGGCUGGGCCACAGGGCGAAUCUGGCUGUCGCAGGCUCUGCCUCGGGGAGUCCAUGCGGGCCUGUCCCUGGACCUUUUUGGCCGCCCCAGGGGAUCUUUGGCCAGCUAGCCGCGCAGCAGGUGUCCGCAGACAACGUCCAUGGCAGGGAAGCUUCCGUGUGCCCACCUGCGCCCCAGCGAGGCAGCGGGGAGGCGGCAGGCUGGUCAUCCAGGCCUGUGCGGGCUCUCAUCCCAGCCCCGGCCCUUACUAGCUGCGCUGACCGCAGGUCCACUGUCCGAGCUCUGAAUAAGGGUCCCAGCGUCCACCUCGUGGAAGACGGAGCCAGGUCACUGGAGCCUGCAGGGCACACGUGUGCAGCCCAUUUGUGAAGGAAGGAGGUCGGACUGGAGGCGUCCCCUCGGCCUGUCCGGUUCUACGAUUCCCUGUCUCAUCCAUUCCCACAUCAUGAGUUAUUUGGCCGGGGCAGGAAAGGGAAAUGGAACACUAACAGCGUGUUCUGAACGCGGCAGGCACACCGGACUCUGCGUGACAGGCUGUGUGUGCUGUCUGCUCCCCGAGUCCAGGAGCUCCGGGGGGCGGGAGCCUGUCUGUGCAUCUCAGAGCCCCGAACUGUGCCCGAGCUCCUGGGCGCCUACCGGGAGUUCAGAGCCGUUGCUGGCUGGAGGCCCCCCGCGGCAACCGGAGCGUAAACCGCCCCAUGGAGACCAGCACAGAGGACUGAUGUUCCUGAGCAACGUUCGAGAAGCCACCAUGUUCUGCACAGUGCCCAGGGCAGAGCCUGGCGCUGACCCGCACACCCCGCGGGAACGGAGCGGCCCCUCUGCGCUCCGGCGCUCGAACGCUGACUCCAGGGCUGGUUCCGCGGUCCUCACUCGUCUGCUGACCCCCCACUGCCUCCCGUCUUUGUUCGUUAUCGUUUGUGUUGCUCUGACAACUUGAGAUAGGUUUCUGCACCUUCUACCCAGUUUAUAUACAUCAUGAGUCUGAUCAUGCGGGCACUAGCGUACUUUUGUAUAUGCUUAAAAAUAUAGUCUGCCCUUGCUUUCUUUUCUAGGUUUUUAACCCUGUGGUUAACAUACACACAUAAAAUUGGCCAUUUUAACUAUUUUUAAGCGCACGGUUUAGUGGUCGCCAGCACACCCAGCACCAGCCUGUCUCCGGGACAUGAUCAUCUUCCCAAACUGAGGCCGCGUCCACAUUGAACACUAACUGCCUGUCCCCCUCUUGUUCGGGGCCCCACACCGCACAGCUUUGUGGUGACUCUGUGAAUGGGUCGGAGUGACACCCACCCGCGGGAGGGCUGCGUUGCCCCCACACUCUAAAGAAGCCCAGGAGGCUUUGUGCCUCUUCCUUGGCUGUAGGAGGCUUCAGACGCACCAGCUUACCCUUCACCUUAGAAGACCUGUCUCGACAUGCCCGCACCGCUGGGCCCCAGGAGCUGCAAUAUGUCUUCAAAAUACCCGUGACCUAAAAUUCACCAUGAAUCCAGUGGCACUGAGCACAUUCACACGGCUGUGCAGCCCUCACCGUCAUCCCUUUCCAGAACUUUCCUUCUCCCCAAACUGAAGCUGUCCCCAUUGCCGCCUAGAGACCCCCAUUCUACUCUCCGUCUCUCCGAGUCUGAUUCCCUCUAGGAAGCACAUGUAAGGGACUGCACCGGAUCUUUCGUCUGCUCCCUACGCUCCGGGCUAUGAGAACAACCGUGGGCCCCAUGUCACCCAGGGACCAUGCUGCAGUGCUGGGGGCCAUAGGCAGGCUCCUCUGGCUCUGGAAGUCCUCGGCAUUUCCAUCGUCCUCAGUUGUCUGGGUGUGAACGGGGCUGGGACCUGAGAGAAGGUGCUCUUUGGGAAGUACCCAUCUUACGGAGAGACACGCGGCUCUGUCCCGCUGGUCACCCGUGGCCUCCGUGAGGAGGGUGCUGUCAGGGUGGAAAGCACAGGUCCCCAGGUCCCGGCCUUCCUUCGUGGGGACAGCUCCUCGAGGCUCCGGUAGCUCGGGCCUGUGUUUGCAGGAAGUCUCCUUGUUUAUGCCGCUUCUACCAUUUCUCCUGGCAGAGACUUUCCCUAGCCAAGGCCAGAGUCAUUCUGGGACAGCUGGUCCCCGGGCCCUGCUGAGGAGCCUGGACAUAGCCCUCUGCUCCGAGGAGUGAUAUACCUGGCCAGACACGAAAGGAAAGAUUAUAAAGGCCAUUUUCUGCAGGCAGCUUAUCCUGAGUAAUCCUGCAAUGACAUGGGGGGCGCAGAGAUCCUGACUGCAUUUCCUUUGGAUUGAUACCCAGAAGUGGGAUUGCUGGAUCAUAUGGGCAUUUCCUGUAUCCAGUCUCUGGAGCCAAGUUCACCAAACCCAGUGCCAAGGGGCCAAUGCUCAGUGAGAAGCACCGCCUGUCCCGUGGCCCAGACCUGUGCGGGCAUGACUGGUGCAUUCUCUUUCUGCAGCUGAUGUCCAUGGAAGGCAAGUCAGGACCAAGUGUCAAGUUGGCGUGGAAUCAGAACAAGGUGGCAAGCCGGACAGGACAACUCUUUACAGAGAUAACUCGAUGGGCCAUUGCAUAACAUCCAGCUCCGCCUGCAGGCUGGGGGUCACCUGGAGACUUUCAUGUCGACCUCACCCCCUGUGCAUUCGUUGCCAGCCUGCCCCUCCCACCUGCCACCUCUGGGACCUCCCCCGAUGACCACGCUCUCUUUGGUGACAUGAUCUUUCUUGAGUCUGAAUGGAGCCAGGCUUUGACCCCUGGGGAGCCUACUGCACCCCCAAAGUGACCCGCAUCUGUGUUUUCCAAGCCUUCCUACAUGGGAUUCAUGGGACACAUAUUUAGGAUUUAGGAACUCAGUGUCAGAACUGGGGGCAGAUGACCAAAUACUGGAAUACGAGAUGCUCCUAGUGCUCUUACCACUUAGGAAAUUCCAAGGGUUUUCGGAGCCCUGGGCCAGGAACCAGGGGCAGAGACCAAUGGACAUAUUUUUCUGUGAUCUCUCAGCCGCUCUCAUCUUCCAGGCGUGAAGCCCCCAGUCCCCCUCUACUGCCUCCCUUGCGCCCGCUCCCUCCACCUGGCUCUGAAGGUUGACUCCCUCAGGCUCUGGGCUGGCUCCUCCCUCCUCUCUGCAGCCCCCGCCUGUCUCACCUGGUCUCACCACCACCACCACCUGAACGCUGAGGACUCCAGAGUCCAAACAGGAGACUCCAGAACUGAGUCAGACCUCCCAGCUUGCUCUUCCAAGUGUCGCUCAGUACCCUGGCACUUGUGACAGCCGCAGCCUGGCUUUGCCAGGGCGUGUCUUCCUGACACAUGGGGCCAUCAGGGUGAGCAGAGGUUUGAACCGCCGCCUGCUCUGUUUCUCCAGAACCUACUGCUUGUGGGGUGGGCCUCGUAGUGGGCUCUGGACUUCCCCGGAAUCAUGUCCUCCUAGCCCUGUGCUGUCAAGCCCUAAAGGCCCUCUGUCUCCUCUCCCCUCUGCGAUGGCUUCCCCAGCUCCCUGCUCACGCUGGCUCAGUUUUCAGCGCUUCCUGCAAAAUGCGCCCCACCCCCAACCCCUGCCCGCAGCCUUCUCAGCCCUUGGGUGGUGGUGAGCCUCUUCCAUGGGCUCCAAGGGGCCCCGGUCACCUCACCAGCCCUGGGCACGCUAUGAGAUCCUGGGGGUGAGCCAGGGUGCCCCUGUCCAUGUGCCCCUACAGGGCACAGGGCAUGUGCUCAGCAAAGGUCGAAUUUCGCUGCCGUGAGCCACCGCGAAGCCCCUGGGGCGAUGCAGCCUGGCCUCCACGGAGAAGGUGAAGGUCAGCCUCUCUCCAGCUAACGCCCAUUGGCCACAGGAGUCUGUGUCUCUGUCUCACUUGCAGCCUCUGGUCAGAGGCUUCCUGGCUCCCAGCCUUAGUGGCCCUGAACUUGGAGUCUCCUCUGCUCUGAGCAAGAGCCUCCCACGCGCACACGGCGGGGCCUUCCUAGACCAGGGUGGGGGGCUGGGGCACCUCUGCUCCCGCCUCUCUGCCUUGUUUUGUGGUUGAGCAAAGCAGGGCUUUAAAGGAAAUUUAUUUUUCCAAAUUGCAGAACAAAGGACACAAUGUUUAGGAAGAAAACACAUUGCUUACAUUUGAGAAAAAUUAGUAGCGUUAUAUAAUGAAAGACACUUGAAGGAGUUGACUCACCCCAGGCUGACAUACAUCUUUGACUAGUUUGUGAGAUACUCAUAAAAUUACAUCCUGUUAAUUUAAGGCUUCUUAUGCUAAUUUUCAGUCAAUUUUAUUUGCCUACGAAAUUUAUUGGUGGCCUCCAGGGUAACAGCCGGGUUUGGCCCAAGUAUGUGGGAUCCUUGUUAAAAACACCAUGUGAAGAAAGAAAAACAGAGUUCGAUGGGAGGGCCAGGAGGACAUGAGGACAGUGUCCAGGCGGUCCAGGCUUGGGGUGGGCUCUGCGGGGCCCCCUGCGAGGGCUUGCCUCAGAACUGGGCCAGGGCAACACUGGGGGACACACUGGGCUGUUCCAGGGCCCAGAGCGGCCUCUGAUGGGUCCAGUACCCCCUCCACAGAUGAGAAAGCUGAGGCACUGAGCUGGUGAGAGUUCCCCCGAGUGGAAAUCCACAGAAGGAUCUACGUGGUCUCGCUGCUCAGCAUGCUCCACAGCCUCAGGCCAGCAAGAGGAGGUUGUUCUGGGCAAAGAAUGUCAGGUGGUAUGUGAGUUGAUAAAACAGUAAAGGGGAGGCCACUUCAAGAAGCUGGCCGCUGCCUCUCUAGGCAGGGAGGCAAACCUAGAACUGGGCCUCCUGGAGGGUCCCCACGCUCAGAGGGGCCGCAUGUUGUCGCCGCCGGAAAAAUUCCUACCAGGCCCCCAUGAAUCGCAUGGCUGGCCCUGCCCCCAAGCCCGGGGCCACAGAGCAGAGGAGAGCCAGGUGUCCAGGGUCACGCCGCCCCCCCAACCAGGCUGUUCCAGCAGCAUCCUCCCGACCUCCUUCUGAUCUUGGCCAAGCCCGGCCUUCUCCCCAAAGGGAGGACCCAGAUGCCUGUGGAAGCCAGCCCCCGGGAAGACUGACACGACAGCGAAGGACAGUGCCCUGAUGCCCCGUGCCAGGCCCUUGCAGGGCUGCCAGCCUUGGGCUGAGAAGGUCAUCCCCCCUGCUGUGCACAGCAGUUAUCCAUGGGGAUGUAGGGUCUCCUGGGGCAAGACGGGGGCACACAGCAGAAAGGUCAGGAAAAGCUCUUCAGAAAAUACUGUGCUUAAGUGAAGACCUAGAAACUGGGUGAGACUUGACCAGUAAAAAGGGUGGAAGAGCAUGCCAAGGCAAGGAAAAGAAAGGGCAAAGACCCAAAGAUGAGCGCGCAAGGAUGUGCUGAGGCGGAGGAGGGUGAUGGGUCUCCAAGAAUGGGGGGACCCGACCAGGUGAGGCUGGAAAGGCACCAC